UUUUUUCCCACAUUUCUCAAAUAUGUAUUUCAUCUAAAAUAAAUCUCCAAGGAAAUAAAAUGAAUAACCUUUAAUUUAACAAAUAUCUCAGUAUAAAUAAAUAUUUAAAAAUGUGCUGUAUUGAAAAACCAAAAGAAAACUCCCUACUCACUCUACUUCCUUAGAAUAUAUACAACCAACCAAAUAGCUAUCCUCAACAGAAAAUUAAAUUUGCUACACUCGGACUCAGUUUACUUACACGACACAUAUUUUCAUAGAAAGAAAUGAAAAAUCCUUUCUUUAUAAACAUAUUCACAGUAGACAAAGGAUCCUCUUUUUCCAUAUCUUGAGAACUUCAAAAUUCAUCCAUGUCUGCCGAAGUCUUGUCCUUCUCUUGGAAACAUAAAACAUAUUAGCUUGAGUGCAAGAUUAUUCCAUUUCCAUACCACCAUAACCAUCCUCUUAAAGCACACCAAAUUGGUUGUCAAAAAGUACCUCAAAAAUCACUAUAUAACUUAAAAAUUAACAAGUAAUCACAUAAAAUAAAAAAGGUUAAGAAAUGACGAAUUUUACAAACAUUUGAUUACGAUAUCGAAAAGAUCAGGUCUUGGAUUUGCAAGUCUCAUUUCAAUCAUCAACCACCAUUAAGAACCCCACAAUUCAAGCAGAACAUGCAAAACAAAAUGAUAAAAGUGGACGGCUAUACUUACCUAUAAAUACAAGUAGUAGGAGAUACCAAGCAAAAUCCAUACGGUGACAGCUUUAGGUUAAAGGCCCCUUUCAAAAAGUAAAGCAACAAAAACAUUCCCCUGGUUCUUGGUUGAUCAAUUGGUUGGUUUAUUCUUAUAUAGGAAAAAUAGGAACUUCCAUCAUUUGGAGCAAUUGGUUUCCCAACUUUACAAAUGCUUCAUUAUGUCAGAAACGAUUAUUUCCCAUAUGUAAAAUAGCAAAAUUUUUGUCGUAGUUUAAGGGAUUAAAUUUUUGGCUCAUUGAACGAACAAUUAAAACAACAUUCCAAGACUCCAACUAAAGAAAUAACUACAUUCCAUGCUCUGGUUUCAUUACCUUCAAUGUCUAUGAUAUUAAACUAAGCAUUAUAAAACAGAAUAAAGAAAAUGAUAUAAGAUAUAUUUGGGUCCAAAUUCAAUGUCACAACUCAUUCACCUAUAAUUAUUUUCAGAUAUUAAUUAUAUCCAGUUAAGCAACUGAGAUGGUAGCACAUUAAUGUUUGAACUUAAGUGAACGAGUAUCCAUCAAUUUACUAUUUCCUGAUUUCGUAGAUUUCCUUUGGUUGAGGAUUAUUUAUCAAUUACAGCAUGUAAUUAUUUGUGCUUUUUCCAUCAGGUGUGGCAUCCUAAUAGUUUCGGAUCACAGGGACAAUGAAUGCAGCAAUAGUUACAAAUUGAAGGUCUUUAAUUGGGAUAUUCUUAUUCUGAGUUGUUGAUAUUAUUACUUGGGGCUGCUACCUUAACUUUAUAAAAUAAGAGCUUGCUAGUCAGGUUUCUCAUUAAAGAUCAUAAAUUUCAUUCGGUUGUGAAAAUUCAUUUGAUAAGAUUGAUUGACACUAAAAAAUGUAUAAUUUAAUAAGGAUAUAAUUAUCAGUUUUUUUUAUUUAUAGUGUCGAUUAAUGUGCUUGUUAUUCCAAAAUUUUCUUAACACUCUCCAAAUAAAUUUUUAUGUUAAUUAAUUUGCAAUGUGUUAAUUUUAUUUUAAUUUUAUAUUGUAAAUAUAUUUCAAGAAUAAAGAAGAGUUGGAACUGCGAGCGGAAAAUAAAGAAGAAUUGUUAAAUCCAUUUGAAAUGUAUUAUUGAGAAGAUGUAAUAAAUUAAAAAAAUUAAAAAAUUAAAAAAAAAGAAGAAAAAGUGAGCAAGCAUGCUCGUGAUGGUCAGGACCAUCACACUUCUCUAUGUACAUAUAUUAUAAAAAAUAAAAUAAAAUAAAAUAAAUAAUAAUAAAAUUAAAAAGAGGAUGCAUUCUUCUCGCCUAUAAAAGGUAAGAGAGCUGAAGGAGAAAGCUGGAGGAAAGCUGAGGAAUUCUUUCUUUCUUUCUUCUCAAAAUUUUUAUUUUUUAUUUUUUUUUAUUUUUUAGUGUAAUCAACUUUCUUGUAAUCUAUUUAAGAAAUUUGUUAAAUAAAAUGAAUGUUUUUUUUUAAUGAGUGGCUAAAUUUUCUGAGUUAAGAUGAAAGGUGAAGCUUAAAAAUUCAAAUUAUUGAAUUAAUUACUUUCCCAAGUAAGUCUUAAAUUUUAUUUUAUUUGUUGUAUUUUUCUUCCUUACCAGUUUCUUUUAUGUCACGUUAAUUUAUAGAUUUAAAUCUCUUCAGAUUUAUAUGGUAUUUUGACAUAAUGUCGAUAUUUCAAUAUAGUUGGGACACAUUAGGUAUUUGGUCCAUACUUAUCACACUAAUAGAUAGUUAAGAAUUAAAUGACAUAAUAAUUAACUGGCAGAAUAAAUGCAAAAUACAAAUAUAAGACAGUGUUAUGAUCAUAAUUUGAAAUCCGAAAGUGGAUCCCAUAAUCUUAGCAUAUUUUUAUAUUGAUUCAUAUUAAUUUAUUUUCCCGCAUUUAAUUUUCAUUGUUUAAUAAAUUAACUAUUAGAUUUUAAAUUUCCUGUAAUUCGACCUUAAAUUCACCGAGUUAUAUUAUAAAUAGACACUCUUCUACUUGAAAAUAAUAACACUUUUGAGUCGUGUCAAAGACUAUUACCAUCUAUGUCAAACUCUCGAUCAGAUCAUAUCAAGUCAUCUAAUUCUAUCAAAUUUUGCUACUAAAACAGCCCCCUGACUAUUGGAAAAGUCACAAAGUUGAAGAAAUGAAAUGGUUUUAGUAAUGCUUAGAUUCAAUUACUUUAUUAAAUAGCAACAGCAAAAAGUAACCAUGGUGAUGAAGGAGCAUAAAUCAAUUUAAGUUUGUGAAAUCAACAACUCAUAAAUCAACUUGAAAUCAAAUGGACAUCAUAUUCAACAACUCAAAUCAAACCCAAGCAGACUUAAAAAAUAAUUUAGGAUUCAGAAAUCAAAACCUUGUACUAACCUGCUGCUGAUGAUUGAAGUAAUGAAGAGCAAGCGGGGGAUGGCGGAGCAGUGGCCAUAGUGUCACGCAACACAGUGAUGGCGUCAAGCGACGAUGAUGCGAUCGAGGGCUGGUACUGGUCUAGGUGAAAUUUGUCGUGAAGGAAUUUUGGUGUGAAAGGUAACAAAUUUUUUAAUUUCUUGUUUUGGGUCUGUAUUGCGAUGCGGUGUAAGCCGCACCCCUCCCUCGAGUUUGGUUUAGGCGGAUUUCAUUUUCACUGCAUUAAUAUGUAAGUUAAUGUAAUGCAGCAUGCGUUGAAUUUGGAGCCAAACAUAAGUUAGUAUUAAGUUAAUACAAAAUAGAAGUUUUAUGUUAUGCUAUGUCGGCUGCCA
rnacentral:lncRNA from 1 species